CAGUCGCCGCGGUAAUACGUAGGUGGCAAGCGUUGUCCGGAAUUAUUGGGCGUAAAGGGUGCGUAGGCGGAUUGUUAAGUCAGGGGUGAAAUCCCGAGGCUCAACCUCGGAACUGCCUUUGAUACUGGCGAUCUUGAGUCCGGGAGAGGUGAGUGGAACUGCGAGUGUAGAGGUGAAAUUCGUAGAUAUUCGCAAGAACACCGGUGGCGAAGGCGGCUCACUGGCCCGGUACUGACGCUGAGGCACGAAAGCGUGGGGAGCAAACAGGAUUAGAUACCCCAGUAGUCCCUGUCUCUUAUAU
rnacentral:rRNA from 1 species